AAUCAACGCUGGCGGCGUGCCUCAGACAUGCAAGUCGAACGCGAAAUUUCCCUUCGGGGAGAAAGUAGAGUGGCGCACGGGUGAGUAACACGUAGGUAAUUUGCCUUUGGGUGGGGAAUAACUCAGGGAAACUUGAGCUAAUACCGCAUAAUGCAGCGGCUCGACAUCGAGACAGUUGUUAAAGCGGGGGAUCGCAAGACCUCGCGCCUAAAGAGAAGCCUGCGGCAGAUUAGCUAGUUGGUAGGGCAAUGGCCUACCAAGGCAACGAUCUGUAACCGGCCUGAGAGGGCGGUCGGUCACACUGACACUGACAUACGGGUCAGACUCC
rnacentral:rRNA from 1 species